GCACUGCCUUUGAGCCCCUGCCGCGCCUGCGCGUGGCGCCAGGUUCAGGCUGCACGCAUGCGCUUGCGCAUAACUGGGCCCGCCAGGUCCAACCCCCCGGCGGCCCUUGUAACCGUGAGCGACACUG